CACUCCAGUGGGUUCACACUGGAGUGAGACAGUUCUGUGUGUGAGAAGAAAAUCACUGAUUCAUCCACUCUGCAGAAGCACUGGUGAAUUUACACGAUGUGGAAAAAUGAUUCUCUCAGACUUACAACCUGCUGGCACACCUGUAAAUUCACACCAGGCAGAAGCCAUUCAUUUGUUCUGUGUGGGAAUGAAUUCAACCAAUCAUCCCACUUGCUGAGUGAUCUUGGCAGCCACACAGAGGAUAAACACACUACUGGCCCUGACUGGAGCUGUUAAUUUUAUCAAAUGGGCAUUCAGAAGUUUGUAUUUACAUUCAGAAGGUGAAACAGUGCAUCACGUGAAAAACUGACAGUCAUUCAGUUCAUCAGCAUCUGAAAUCAUUAGCCUCUGAAGAAAUGCUGUCUAUAAGAAAAGAUUUUAACCAUCAGUGUGACUGCAAAAUCACCAAGACAUACACAUGCAAGGAGAGUGUUCCAGUGAAAGUACUGUUGAAAGAGUAUUCACCAGCUACUCAGCCUGAAAAUUAAUUACGCCAUCCAUGAUGGGGAGAGAUCAUUGAUAAGUUCUGUUUGUGGAGAUCGAUUUCAAUCAAUCACUGAACCUGG